GCAGUCGGACGGUCUGUCGCCGUUACCAAUAGAGGUAAAGGAGGAAAGUCCGGGCAGCACAGAGCAUUCCACUUCCUAACAGAAAGCUGUCUGCGAAGGCAGAGUAAUGCAGAAGAAAAUAACCGCCUCGCGAGAGGUAAGGGUGAGAAGGUGGGGUAAGAGCCCACCGGUCGUGCGGUGACGUACGAGCCGUGUGUCUUGGAAGCUGCAAGUUCGCGUAUACCGGCGUUUGAGGGCUGCUCGUCCGAGUCGGAGGGUAGAACGCUUUAGCUGUGCAGUGAUGCACAGCAUAGAUGAAUGACAGACGCCCCACAAGGGGUACAGAACCCGGCUUAUAGGCCGACUGCUUAA
rnacentral:RNase_P_RNA from 1 species